rnacentral:rRNA from 1 species
GGCCGGAAUUCGCCCUUGUGCCAGCCGCCGCGGUAAUACGUAGGGGGCAAGCGUUGUCCGGAAUCAUUGGGCGUAAAGAGCGCGUAGGCGGUCCGGUAAGUCCGCUGUGAAAGUCAAGGGCUCAACCCUUGAAAGCCGGUGGAUACUGCCGGACUAGAGUCCGGAAGAGGCGAGUGGAAUUCCUGGUGUAGCGGUGAAAUGCGCAGAUAUCAGGAGGAACACCGAUGGCGAAGGCAGCCCGCUGGGACGGUACUGACGCUGAGGCGCGAAACGUGUGGGAGCAAACAGGAUUAGAUACCCUGGUAGUCCACGCCGUAAACGAUGGGCACUAGGUGUGGGAGGUGUCGACUCCUCCCGUGCCGCAGCUAACGCACUAAGUGCCCCGCCUGGGGAGUACGGCCGCAAGGUUAAAACUCAAAGGAAUUGACGGGGGCCCGCACAAGCAGCGGACAUAGUGGUUUAAUUCGACGCAACGCGAAGAACCUUACCUGGGCUUGACAUGUUCGUGACCGGUGUGGAAACACAUCUUCCCUUCGGGGCACGAUCACAGGUGGUGCAUGGCUGUCGUCAGCUCGUGUCGUGAGNAGUUGGGUUAAGUCCGCAACGAGCCGCACCCCGUUGCAUGUUGCAACGGUUCGGCCG